rnacentral:rRNA from 1 species
AGAGAUCAUGGCUCAGGAUGAACGCUAGCGGCAGGCUUAAUACAUGCAAGUCGAGGGGCAGCAGGUCUGUAGCAAUACAGAUGCUGGCGACCGGCAAACGGGUGCGGAACACGUACGCAAUCUACCCAUAACUGAUGAAUAGCCCUCCGAAAGGAGGAUUAAUACAUCGUAACCUAAUUGAAGUGGCAUCACUUUAUUAGUAUAGCUCCGGCGGUUUUGGAUGAGCGUGCGGCUGAUUAGGUAGUUGGUUGAGGUAACGGCUCACCAAGCCUGCGAUCAGUAACUGGUGUGAGAGCACGACCAGUCACACGGGCACUGAGACACGGGCCCGACUCCUACGGGAGGCAGCAGUAAGGAAUAUUGGUCAAUGGACGCAAGUCUGAACCAGCCAUGCCGCGUGAAGGAUGAAGGUCCUCUGGAUUGUAAACUUCUUUUAUAGGGGACGAAAUCUAUUUUUCUAAGUAGUCUGACGGUACCCUAGGAAUAAGCACCGGCUAACUCCGUGCCAGCAGCCGCGGUAAUACGGAGGGUGCAAGCGUUAUCCGGAUUCACUGGGUUUAAAGGGUGCGUAGGAGGGCAGGUAAGUCAGUGGUGAAAUCUCCGAGCUUAACUUGGAAACUGCCAUUGAUACUAUCUGUCUUGAAUAUUGUGGAGGUGAGCGGAAUAUGUCAUGUAGCGGUGAAAUGCUUAAAUAUGACAUAGAACACCAAUUGCGAAAGCAGCUCGCUACACAUAUAUUGACUCUGAGGCACGAAAGCGUGGGGAUCAAACAGGAUUAGAUACCCUGGUAGCCCACGCCCUAACUAUGGAUACUCGACAUACGCGAUAAACUGUGUGUGUCUGACCGAAAGCAUUAAGUAUCCC